rnacentral:pre_miRNA from 1 species
UCAGUCGGGGACUCUCAACUUUGGGGGCACUUUCUCCUGGUCCAUCCAGAAAGUGCUGCCAUAGUUGAAUGUCUUCGGCUGG